AUUGAACGAUGGCGGAAGGACUAACACAUGCAAGUCGAGCGAGCGGCGGACGGGUGAGUAAUGUCUGGGAAACUGCCUGAUGGAGGGGGAUAACUACUGGAAACGGUAGCUAAUACCGCAUACCAUGAGAUGUGCCCAGAUGGGAUUGGCUAGUAGGUGGGGUAACGGCUCACCUAGGCGACGAUCCCUAGCUGGUCUGCGAGGAUGACCCGCCACACUGGGACUGAGACCCGGUCCAGACUCCUACGGGAUGCAGCAGUGGGGAAUAUUGCACAAUGGGCGCAAGCCUGAUGCAGCCAUGCCGCGUGUGUGAAGAAGGCCUUCGGGUUGUAAAGCACUUUCAGCGGGGAGGCGUUACCCGCAGAAGAAGCACCGGCUAACUCCGUGCCAGCAGCCGCGGUAAUAC
rnacentral:rRNA from 1 species